UAAUAUUUAUUAUUAUAAUUUAAUAUCUAGGGAAAAUUUAGAAAAUUAAUAGGCAUUUAACCAGCUACAUAAUCUCAGUAAAAGUCCCUCUGAGACCUGGGUACUGGGCCUUAACCUCUGUUCCCAGGCAGACCUAGAUGGUGGUCAAGAGUGACAUGCAGACCGUGGGAACAUUCCGUAACCUAAAAAUGCCGCUUUCAGUUGGUUUAGGAAGAUGUCGAUGGUGUAUGUUGAUGUAAAUAGGGUUUGCAUAAAAGAUAACAGAGAUUUUAAGGCAGCUGGAUUAAGGACUUAAUUUCAAACAGAAGUAUAAACUUAAGAACUAGAGUGAUAGGAGGAAAAUGGAGGAAAAGGUGGAAAGUGGGUGAGAGAGUGGUUUGGUCAGCUUUGAAGGAUCUUCAGUGCCAUUCCCGUGGGCCGGCUUUUAUUCUGAGGUUCUUAGGAAGGGAUGUGGGGAUUGGAAUGGAAUAGCUAGGUCUCUUUUAAAAUAAUAACUCCAUUAGGCCAGGAGAACUUAGAUUAGAGGUGGGGAGAAUCUGAGUCAGGGAAAUGAAAUGCAGUAAUUCACGCGACAGACUCUAAGAACUUAACCCAGAGAGUGCCUUCAAAAUGGAGAGGUUUGCUUGCAUCAGAGACAUUUAGCUAAAAGCGAUGGGCUUAGGGAAGAACGGGAUACAGGUUGUGAGAGAAGGUAUCAGAUCCAGCGCCAUCUCGUUUCUGCCUGGGGAAGGCAGAUGGAACUCAGGAUGGCAGGAGAUGGUGCAUGUUUGCUAUAAAAGGUGGAGUUAAACUUUGUUUAUAGAUGAGUACAAAGCCUAUGAGACAUCAGGUAGGAAAUUCGGAUUUCUGAGUCUAACUUAACAAAGCUUGAGAGGGAUGUAAAUUACAAGUGUAAGGGGGAUAUUUAAAGGAAUGGGGCUCAUCAGAGGUUCAUCAGAUAGAGAGGGAGGAGCUGUGAUUGGAUGUGUUUAGUAAUUUGGGCAUCACCUUAUGAAAGCUGUAAAGCCCUGGCAUGGCCUAACCAGGCAGAAGGCUGAGGAUGGAUUCCUGCAGAAUGCUGAUGUUUAGAGAAAGAGUCAGCAAGAGAGCCAGAGUGAUGGUUUAGUGGGGAACCAGGUAAGUUAGUCAUUGGAGCCAAAGGACUGGGCUGUGAAUAUGUUAAAUGCUAUGAUGUAUUCAUUUGGAGUUAGGGCUUGUAAGAGGCUGUGCGAGAGUCUUUGGAUCCUCAGUCCCUGAUUUGUUAAACGGAAGACUUAGACUAAGGGGUUCUUAGAGCUCUUUUAGCUCUAUCGACAGACACUGUAGAGCUUUGUGGUUAAGGCAAUGGACUCUAGAACCAGGCAGGUCUGGGAUUGGGCUCUGCUCUGCCACUUACCAGUUGUGUGACUCAUGUAGGCGACAUCAUUUCUUUAAACAUUGGUUUUCCCUUUUUGUAAAGUGCAGCUUAAGUGUUAUCUCCUCCUUUGUGGGGCCAUUAAAAAGACCAAGAAAAUACACAUAAGAUACUGGAUGCAUACUGAGAAAUCAAACAAUUUUUGUUGUUGUUAUUAUCCCUGUGAUUCAGACUGAAGAGGCAGCAUUUAGCCAGAUAUGUUUGAAAAGUCUGAGGGACCCUGGGCAUGUGGAUGUCAGAAUGGUAGAGCAUACACUGUGUAGGAAGAAAAUCUAGACUAGAUCCAAGAAGACCCUGUAGAUGGCUAGUUAUUAUUGCAGAGAAAUCUAGGGGACAUUUCAAAGAUAUUUUAAUAAUGUUCUAGACCCACUUUCUUUUUGCAUAAUGUUGAAGCCUGCUCCUCCUUUCCAAAUGGUAUCCUUGAUUUCACGUUGAUCACUUCAGUGUCAGUUUAAUCUCAGUAUGUAAUCAGACCAACCUAUCAGGACUCUCAGUAGGCGGUGAUGGUGGUAAGAACACAUUUGUUUGCGUCCCUUUUUCUAGCAUAUUUACAUGGGUGAAAUUGGAUUAAAAUGGAUGCCAGAUUAUGACUCGAGGGAGAAAAUGAGUCAGCAGUCGGUGGCAGGGAG